CAUCAUGGCUUGUUACAAUGAACUCAUACAGUUGGAAUUUGGAGAAGUACAGGCACAAUUUAAACUAAGGGCUUGUAAUUCGAUAUUUACGGCAUUAGAUAAAAGUCAAGAAGCCACCGAGAUUACAAGCGAAGACCACGUAAUACAGUAUGUAAAUCCUGCCUUUGAAGCGGUAAUGGGC